rnacentral:siRNA from 1 species
UUUGGAUGGACUUGGUAGAACC